rnacentral:rRNA from 1 species
ACGGAAGGCAGCAGUGGGGAAUAUUGGACAAUGGGGGAAACCCUGAUCCAGCGACGCCGCGUGAGUGAAGAAGUAUUUCGGUAUGUAAAGCUCUAUCAGCAAGGAAGAAAAUGACGGUACUUGACUAAGAAGCCCCGGCUAACUACGUGCCAGCAGCCGCGGUAAUACGUAGGGGGCAAGCGUUAUCCGGAUUUACUGGGUGUAAAGGGAGCGUAGACGGCAGGGCAAGUCUGAUGUGAAAGCCCGGGGCUCAACCCCGGGACUGCAUUGGAAACUGUCCGGCUAGAGUGCAGGAGAGGUAAGUGGAAUUCCUAGUGUAGCGGUGAAAUGCGUAGAUAUUAGGAGGAACACCAGUGGCGAAGGCGGCUUACUGGACUGUAACUGACGUUGAGGCUCGAAAGCGUGGGUAGCAAACAGGAUUAGAUACCCUGGUA